AGACAGUGGCUUGUCCAGCACUAUGAGUCAAAGCUGGGGGAUUCUCCUGGUCUCAUCAGAUGUCCUUCCUGUCAGAGCCAGGUGAUGAGUGACGUAACACACCACGCUGGAACCUUCUCCUGGACCAUGUGUCUGGUCUUCAUCCUCUGUGGGUUAUUCCUAGGCUGCUGUCUGAUCCCGUUUUUCCUCAGGAAUUUCAAGGACGCCUAUCACACCUGCCCUCGCUGUCACAUGGUCCUUCACAUCCACAGGAAGAGCUGCUGCCCCACGACCUCUGACCCCUCCUCCCUGACCUCCUGCCUAGGGUCAGGGCACCCCUAUCAAGCCUGAUGUGUGGUGGGGUGGGGGCUUGAAUCAUAUAGUUAAUAACCACCUGUUGGUGUCUGAGGCAGGGCUUGUAUCAUAUAGUCUCUAUAGCACCGCCUGUUGGUGUCUGAGACAGGGCUCGUAUCAUCUAGUCUCUAUAGCACCGCCUGUUGGUGUCUGAGGCAGGGCUCGUAUCAUAUAGUCUCUAUAGCACCGCCUGUUGGUGUCUGAGGCAGGGCUUGUAU